rnacentral:tRNA from 1 species
GUGGGGAUGGCAGAGCCUGGUCAAAUGCGCAGGACUUAAGAUCCUGUGCCGUAGUGGCUACGUGGGUUCAAAUCCCACUCCCCACA